rnacentral:tRNA from 1 species
GAGGGUAUAGCUCAGCUGUAGAGCGAGUGUUUAGCAUGCAUGAGGUCCUGGGUUCAGUCCCUGGUAACUCCA